GACGAACGCUGGCGGCGUGCUUAACACAUGCAAGUCGAGCGAUGAAGUUCCUUCGGGAAUGGAUUAGCGGCGGACGGGUGAGUAACACGUGGGUAACCUGCCUCAUAGAGGGGAAUAGCCUUCCGAAAGGAAGAUUAAUACCGCAUAAGAUUGUAGUAUCGCAUGAUACAGCAAUUAAAGGAGUAAUUCGCUAUGAGAUGGACCCGCGUCGCAUUAGCUAGUUGGUGAGGUAACGGCUCACCAAGGCGACGAUGCGUAGCCGAGCUGAGAGGGUGAUCGGCCACAUUGGGACGGAGACACGGCCCAGACUCCUACGGGAGGCAGCAGUGGGGAAUAUUGCACAAUGGGGGAAACCCUGAUGCAGCAACGCCGCGUGAGUGAUGACGGUCUUCGGAUUGUAAAACUCUGUCUUCAGGGACGAUAAUGACGGUACCUGAGGAGGAAGCCACGGCUAACUACGUGCCAGCAGCCGCAGUAA
rnacentral:rRNA from 1 species